rnacentral:rRNA from 1 species
GGGAGUGAAAUAGAACCUGAAACCCUGCACUUACAAGCUGUGGAAGCACAUUUCUUGUGUGACAGCGUACUUUUUGUAGAACGGGCCAACGAGUUACGUUAAGUAGCAAGGUUAAGCACUUAAGGUGCGGAGCCGUAGCGAAAGCGAGUUUUAACUGAGCGUUCAGUUACUUGACGUAGACCCGAAACCGGGCGACCUACCCAUGAGCAGGAUGAAGCGAAAGUAAAAGUUCGUGGAGGUCCGAACCCACGAGCGUUGAAAAGCUCGGGGAUGACUUGUGGGUAGCGGUGAAAUUCCAAUCGAGCCCGGAGAUAGCUGGUUCUCCCCGAAAUAGCUUUAGGGCUAGCCUCAAGGUGAGAGAUACGGAGGUAGAGCACUGAAUGUCCUAGGGGGUAUUGCACCUACCGAAGACUAUCAAACUCCGAAUGCCGUCAUCUUAUACUUGGGAGUCAGACUGUGGGUGAUAAGAUUCAUAG